rnacentral:rRNA from 1 species
GUCGAGCGGAAGGCCCUUCGGGGUACUCGAGCGGCGAACGGGUGAGUAACACGUGAGCAACCUGCCCCAGGCUUUGGGAUAACCCCGGGAAACCGGGGCUAAUACCGAAUAUGACCUCUGACCGCAUGGUUGGUGGUGGAAAGUUUUUCGGCUUGGGAUGGGCUCGCGGCCUAUCAGCUUGUUGGUGGGGUGAUGGCCUACCAAGGCGACGACGGGUAGCCGGCCUGAGAGGGCGACCGGCCACACUGGGACUGAGACACGGCCCAGACUCCUACGGGAGGCAGCAGUGGGGAAUAUUGCACAAUGGGCGGAAGCCUGAUGCAGCGACGCCGCGUGAGGGAUGACGGCCUUCGGGUUGUAAACCUCUUUCAGCAGGGACGAAGCGUAAGUGACGGUACCUGCAGAAGAAGCGCCGGCCAACUACGUGCCAGCAGCCGCGGUAAGACGUAGGGCGCGAGCGUUGUCCGGAUUUAUUGGGCGUAAAGAGCUCGUAGGCGGCUUGUCGCGUCGACCGUGAAAACUUGGGGCUCAACCCCAAGCCUGCGGUCGAUACGGGCAGGCUAGAGUUCGGUAGGGGAGACUGGAAUUCCUGGUGUAGCGGUGAAAUGC